AUUGAACGCUGACGGCAUGCCUUACACAUGCAAGUCGAACGGCAGCACGGGAGCAAUCCUGGUGGCGAGUGGCGAACGGGUGAGUAAUAUAUCGGAACGUGCCCAGUCGUGGGGGAUAACGUAGCGAAAGCUACGCUAAUACCGCAUACGAUCUAUGGAUGAAAGCGGGGGAUCGCAAGACCUCGCGCGAUUGGAGCGGCCGAUAUCAGAUUAGGUAGUUGGUGAGGUAAAGGCUCACCAAGCCGACGAUCUGUAGCUGGUCUGAGAGGACGACCAGCCACACUGGGACUGAGACACGGCCCAGACUCCUACGGGAGGCAGCAGUGGGGGAAUUUUUGGACAAUGGGCGCAAGCCUGAUCCAGCAAUGCCCGCGUGCAGGAUGAA
rnacentral:rRNA from 1 species